CGGCAUGCCUUACACAUGCAAGUCGAACGGCAGCACGGGAGCAAUCCUGGUGGCGAGUGGCGAACGGGUGAGUAAUAUAUCGGAACGUGCCCAGUCGUGGGGGAUAACGUAGCGAAAGCUACGCUAAUACCGCAUACGAUCUAUGGAUGAAAGCGGGGGAUCGCAAGACCUCGCGCGAUUGGAGCGGCCGAUAUCAGAUUAGGUAGUUGGUGGGGUAAAGGCUCACCAAGCCAACGAUCUGUAGCUGGUCUGAGAGGACGACCAGCCACACUGGAACUGAGACACGGUCCAGACUCCUACGGGAGGCAGCAGUGGGGAAUUUUGGACAAUGGACGCAAGUCUGAUCCAGCCAUUCCGCGUGCAGGAUGAAGGCCCUCGGGUUGUAAACUGCUUUGUACGGAACGAAACGGUGAGCUCUAAUACAGUUUGCUAAUGACGGUACCGUAAGAAUAAGCACCGGCUAACUACGUG
rnacentral:rRNA from 1 species